ACCUCGGAUCAGGUAGGGAUACCCGCUGAACUUAAGCAUAUCAAUAAGCGGAGGAAAAGAAACCAACAGGGAUUGCCCUAGUAACGGCGAGUGAAGCGGCAAGAGCUCAAAUUUGAAAGCUGGCCCCCUCGGGGCCCGCAUUGUAAUUUGCAGAGGAUGCUUCGGGCGUGGCCCCUGUCUAAGUGCCCUGGAACGGGCCGUCAGAGAGGGUGAGAAUCCCGUAUGGGAUGGGGUGCCCACGCCCGUGUGAAGCUCCUUCGACGAGUCGAGUUGUUUGGGAAUGCAGCUCUAAAUGGGUGGUAAAUUUCAUCUAAAGCUAAAUAUUGGCCGGAGACCGAUAGCGCACAAGUAGAGUGAUCGAAAGAUGAAAAGCACUUUGAAAAGAGAGUUAAAAAGCACGUGAAAUUGUUGAAAGGGAAGCGCUUGCGACCAGACUCGCCCCAGGGGUUCAACCGGCUUUCGGGCCGGUGUACUUCCCCCGGGGCGGGCCAGCGUCGGUUUUGGCGGCCGGUCAAAGGCCCCUGGAAUGUAACGCCCCCCGGGGCGUCUUAUAGCCAGGGGUGCCAUGCGGCCCGCCGGGACCGAGGAACGCGCUUCGGCUCGGACGCUGGCAUAA
rnacentral:rRNA from 1 species